rnacentral:rRNA from 1 species
AACGGGGGGAGCAAGCGUUGUUCGGAUUUACUGGGCGUAAAGGGCGCGUAGGCGGCCACCGCAAGUCGACUGUGAAAUCUCCGGGCUUAACCCGGAAAGGUCAGCCGAUACUGCGGGGCUAGAGUGCAGAAGGGGCAACUGGAAUUCUCGGUGUAGCGGUGAAAUGCGUAGAUAUCGAGAGGAACACCUGCGGCGAAGGCGGGUUGCUGGGCUGACACUGACGCUGAGGCGCGAAAGCUAGGGGAGCGAACGGG